GGCCCUCCACAUUGAGCCAUGAGGCCAGUAAUUCUCCUGGAGAACAAAGUACAGCACUACCUUUACAAUAAAUACAUUCUCCAAAGAGCUGCACAGAGACUUCUGUUUGAGAUCACAAUCUUUAUUAUACUUGUUUAUGUCUGCAAAAUGCUUUAUGUACAUCAAAGUUGCUGCCAAAGGGCUGAAAUAGACUGUUUAUCAAACAAUGGCGGGUUCUCUACACAGGGAGCAACGAUCAGAACUGAGUGACACUGCAUUAUAGAAGCUGAAGGAAAAACAAGAUGUAAAAGGCAAGACGUACCAAAGCAAUCAAUAGGAACAAUUAAGGUACAAAAUGCAUAGCCAUUUAAAGGCAGAAGAAAUAACUAGAACAUGUGUGUACCUGAAAAUGGAUCCAGCCAUCAACAGACAGGAGGCGUUCACGGUGCUGAACUUCUAUGUCUCCACCA